rnacentral:rRNA from 1 species
UACAGAGGUCUCAAGCGUUUGUUCGGAUUCAUUGGGCGUAAAGGGUGCGUAGGCGGCGCCGUAAGUCGGAUGUGAAAAUCUCAGGGCUCAACCCCUGAAAACUGCAUUCGAUACUGCGGUGCUCGAGGACUCGAGAGGAGAUUGGAAUUCACGGUGUAGCAGUGAAAUGCGUAGAUAUCGUGAGGAAGACCAGUGGCGAAGGCGGAUCUCUGGAGAGUUCCUGACGCUGAGG